rnacentral:lncRNA from 1 species
AAGGAACAUGGGUGGCAGCAGAUGCCACCAGGCUCCUGCACCAAAGCCCACCUGGGUUCCCACAGAGAGGGCAGGGCAGCCCCCCAGCCAUGGGGAGAAGUUGGGGUCUUCCUGGGAGCUCCCUCAAAGCUGGGGGACUCGGAGGGGACAUCCCCACCGGCUGCUGUGGCCUCCUGGGUGCCAGAGAUCCGGAGGGCAGGGGGGCUGUGGGACACACCGAGGUGGUGCUGCCACAAAGUCACAGCCUUGUCACCUUGGGUGUCCCCUCUCAGGCCUUGUCACACUGUGUGCCCCUCUCACAGCCUUGUCACCCCAUGUACCCCCACUCACAGCCUUGUCACACUGUGUGCCCCUCUCACAGCCUUGCCACCCCAUGUGUCCCCUCUCAGAGCCUUGUCACCUCCCUUAUUCUCCCCUUCAUGCCUUGUCCCCUCAUGUGUCCCCUCUCACUGCCUUGACACCUCCUGUGUCCCCUUUAGAGCCCGGUCACCUCAUGUACCCCCCUUCCAGAGCUCUGGCACCUCAUUUAUCCCCCCAAGAACCUCCUCACCUCAUUUAUCCCCCCUCAGAGCCUUAGCACCCUCUGCACCCCCUUUCAGCACCCUGGCACCUCAUGGAUCCCCCCUUCCAGAGCACCUGGCACAUUUUGGCUCUGAGGCAAUCCCUGCCUGGCAAGAUUUUGGGACAUGGCCCCUGAGAGCUGCCUCUCCUGCCCAGGAAGGCCCUGCCCAGCUCUGCUCUCUGCCAGGGGGCCCCCAGGCAGGUUUUAGGGGGUCUGUAGACAGGACAACAUGUUCCUCAGGGGGCUGUGGGUUCCAGGGAAGCUGGGCUUGUCCUGGGUGGAUGGUGGGGCUUGGCAGGAGACCCCUCAGCUUCUCUCAGCCUCUUCCAGCCAGGAAUCCCCAUGGAAACAGAGUCUCCGUGUCCCCUCCUGGGGAAAACUCCUGCUGGUGUUUUUUGAGGUUACUUAAAUGAUUUCCAAGACCCACCCAGGGCUAUAAAUACCUGAUGGAGUUCCAACUUCAAUAAGAAGCUCUAAACAGCCCUAAAAACAGAGGCCAGAUGUCUAAAUUAUAAAGAACUAAAGACUUCAGGCACCACCAAGGACAUUUUGUUCCUUUGAAC